rnacentral:misc_RNA from 1 species
CUGGGUUCUGGGCUCCGGCCCGCCACCCGCCCUCUGUCAUGAUGAAAAACGAAAUGCUUCGGCCGACGGUCUCGCGAGUGCCUGGCGCAAGCCCGGCGCAGACGGGGCCGCGGUCGGUCUCCUAACUCUGAGUGCAUGCGUGUAGUCUGAUGCAAAAAUAAAAACGAAACCA